rnacentral:rRNA from 1 species
UACGUAGGGGGCAAGCGUUGUCCGGAUUUAUUGGGCGUAAAGAGCGUGUAGGCGGCCAGGUAGGUCGGCUGUGAAAACUCGAGGCUCAACCUCGAGCUGUCGGCCGAAACCAUCUGGCUAGAGUCCGGAAGAGGAGAAUGGAAUUCCCGGUGUAGCGGUGGAAUGCGUAGAUAUCGGGAAGAAUACCGGUGGCGAAGGCGUUCCGCUGGGCCGUUGCUGACGCUGAGGCGCGACAGCGUGGGGAGCAAACAGG